rnacentral:pre_miRNA from 1 species
GUUUCUACUUUAACAAUAGUUCUGACCUUUGAGUAAAAUUUGGUAAGUGCUAUUUGUUGGGGGUUGUUUUA